GACGAACGCUGGCGGCGUGCUUAACACAUGCAAGUCGAGCGAUGAAACACCUUCGGGUGCGGAUUAGCGGCGAACGGGUGAGGAACACGUGAGGAAUCUGCCUUCCACUCUGGGAUAACUCCGGGAAACCGGGGCUAAUACCGGAUACUUUCAACUGGCGGCAUCGCCGGUUGAAGAAAGUUUUUCGGUGGAAGAUGACCUCGCGGCCUAUCAGCUUGUUGGUGAGGUAAAGGCUCACCAAGGCGACGACGGGUAGCCGGCCUGAGAGGGCGACCGGCCACACUGGGACUGAGACACGGCCCAGACUCCUACGGGAGGCAGCAAUGGGGAAUAUUGGGCAAUGGGCGCAAGCCUGACCCAGCGACGCCGCGUGAGGGAUGAAGGUCUUCGGAUUGUAAACCUCUUUCAGUAGGGAAGAAGCGGAAGUGACGGUACCUAAAGAAGAAGCACCGGCUAACUAUGUGCCAGCCGCCGCGGUAA
rnacentral:rRNA from 1 species